GGUUAAGCGACUAAGCGUACACGGUGGAUGCCCUGGCAGUCAGAGGCGAUGAAGGACGUGCUAAUCUGCGAAAAGCGUCGGUAAGGUGAUAUGAACCGUUACAGCCGGCGAUGUCCGAAUGGGGAAACCCAGUGCAAUUCGUUGCACUAUCGUUAACUGAAUACAUAGGUUAACGAGGCGAACCGGGGGAACUGAAACAUCUAAGUACCCCGAGGAAAAGAAAUCAACCGAGAUUCCCCCAGUAGCGGCGAGCGAACGGGGAGCAGCCCAGAGUCUGAAUCAGCUUGUGUGUUAGUGGAACGGUCUGGAAAGUCCGACGGUACAGGGUGAUAGUCCCGUACACCAAAAUGCACAGGCUGUGAACUCGAAGAGUAGGGCGGGACACGUGGUAUCCUGUCUGAAUAUGGGGGGACCAUCCUCCAAGGCUAAAUACUCCUGACUGACCGAUAGUGAACCAGUACCGUGAGGGAAAGGCGAAAAGAACCCCGGCGAGGGGAGUGAAAAAGAACCUGAAACCGUGUACGUACAAGCAGUGGGAGCACCUUCGGGUGUGACUGCGUACCUUUUGUAUAAUGGGUCAGCGACUUAUAUUCUGUAGCAAGGUUAACCGUAUAGGGGAGCCGCAGGGAAACCGAGUCUUAACUGGGCGUUAAGUUGCAGGGUAUAGACCCGAAACCCGGUGAUCUAGCCAUGGGCAGGUUGAAGGUUGGGUAACACUAACUGGAGGACCGAACCGACUAAUGUUGAAAAAUUAGCGGAUGACUUGUGGCUGGGGGUGAAAGGCCAAUCAAACCGGGAGAUAGCUGGUUCUCCCCGAAAGCUAUUUAGGUAGCGCCUCGUGAAUUCAUCUUCGGGGGUAGAGCACUGUUUCGGCUAGGGGGUCAUCCCGACUUACCAACCCGAUGCAAACUACGAAUACCGAAGAAUGUUAUCACGGGAGACACACGGCGGGUGCUAACGUCCGUCGUGAAGAGGGAAACAACCCAGACCGCCAGCUAAGGUCCCAAAGUCAUGGUUAAGUGGGAAACGAUGUGGGAAGGCACAGACAGCCAGGAUGUUGGCUUAGAAGCAGCCAUCAUUUAAAGAAAGCGUAAUAGCUCACUGGUCGAGUCGGCCUGCGCGGAAGAUGUAACGGGGCUAAACCAUGCACCGAAGCUGCGGCAGCGACACUAUGUGUUGUUGGGUAGGGGAGCGUUCUGUAAGCCUGCGAAGGUGACCUGUGAGGGUUGCUGGAGGUAUCAGAAGUGCGAAUGCUGACAUAAGUAACGAUAAAGCGGGUGAAAAGCCCGCUCGCCGGAAGACCAAGGGUUCCUGUCCAACGUUAAUCGGGGCAGGGUGAGUCGACCCCUAAGGCGAGGCCGAAAGGCGUAGUCGAUGGGAAACAGGUUAAUAUUCCUGUACUUGGUGUUACUGCGAAGGGGGGACGGAGAAGGCUAUGUUAGCCGGGCGACGGUUGUCCCGGUUUAAGCAUGUAGGCUGAUUGUCCAGGCAAAUCCGGAUAAUCAAGGCUGAGGUGUGAUGACGAGGCACUACGGUGCUGAAGUAACAAAUGCCCUGCUUCCAGGAAAAGCCUCUAAGCAUCAGGUAACAUUAAAUCGUACCCCAAACCGACACAGGUGGUCAGGUAGAGAAUACCAAGGCGCUUGAGAGAACUCGGGUGAAGGAACUAGGCAAAAUGGUGCCGUAACUUCGGGAGAAGGCACGCUGGUGUGUAGGUGAAGUCCCUGCGGAUGGAGCUGAGACCAGUCGAAGAUACCAGCUGGCUGCAACUGUUUAUUAAAAACACAGCACUGUGCAAACACGAAAGUGGACGUAUACGGUGUGACGCCUGCCCGGUGCCGGAAGGUUAAUUGAUGGGGUUAUCCGUAAGGAGAAGCUCUUGAUCGAAGCCCCGGUAAACGGCGGCCGUAACUAUAACGGUCCUAAGGUAGCGAAAUUCCUUGUCGGGUAAGUUCCGACCUGCACGAAUGGCGUAAUGAUGGCCAGGCUGUCUCCACCCGAGACUCAGUGAAAUUGAACUCGCUGUGAAGAUGCAGUGUACCCGCGGCAAGACGGAAAGACCCCGUGAACCUUUACUAUAGCUUGACACUGAACAUUGAGCCUUGAUGUGUAGGAUAGGUGGGAGGCUUUGAAGCGUGGACGCCAGUCUGCGUGGAGCCAACCUUGAAAUACCACCCUUUAAUGUUUGAUGUUCUAACGUUGGCCCCUUACCGGGGUUGCGGACAGUGUCUGGUGGGUAGUUUGACUGGGGCGGUCUCCUCCCAAAGCGUAACGGAGGAGCACGAAGGUUAGCUAAUCCUGGUCGGACAUCAGGAGGUUAGUGCAAUGGCAUAAGCUAGCUUGACUGCGAGCGUGACGGCGCGAGCAGGUGCGAAAGCAGGUCAUAGUGAUCCGGUGGUUCUGAAUGGAAGGGCCAUCGCUCAACGGAUAAAAGGUACUCCGGGGAUAACAGGCUGAUACCGCCCAAGAGUUCAUAUCGACGGCGGUGUUUGGCACCUCGAUGUCGGCUCAUCACAUCCUGGGGCUGAAGUAGGUCCCAAGGGUAUGGCUGUUCGCCAUUUAAAGUGGUACGCGAGCUGGGUUUAGAACGUCGUGAGACAGUUCGGUCCCUAUCUGCCGUGGGCGCUGGAGAAUUGAGGGGGCUGCUCCUAGUACGAGAGGACCGGAGUGGACGCAUCACUGGUGUUCGGGUUGUCAUGCCAAUGGCACUGCCCGGUAGCUAAAUGCGGAAGAGAUAAGUGCUGAAAGCAUCUAAGCACGAAACUUGCCCCGAGAUGAGUUCUCCCUGAGACUUUAAGUCUCCUGAAGGAACGUUGAAGACGACGACGUUGAUAGGCCGGGUGUGUAAGCGCAGCGAUGCGUUGAGCUAACCGGUACUAAUGAACCGUGAGGCUUAACCUU
rnacentral:rRNA from 1 species